rnacentral:rRNA from 1 species
UUGACAUCCCAGGACAUCCCCAGAGAUGGGGCUUCCACUUCGGUGGCCUGGAGACAGGUGCUGCAUGGCUGUCGUCAGCUCGUGUCGUGAGAUGUUCGGUUAAGUCCGGCAACGAGCGCAACCCACGUCCCCAGUUGCCAGCAUUCAGUUGGGCACUCUGUGGAAACUGCCGGUGAUAAGCCGGAGGAAGGUGUGGAUGACGUCAAGUCCUCAUGGCCCUUACGGGUUGGGCUACACACGUGCUACAAUGGUGGUGACAGUGGGUUAAUCCCCAAAAGCCAUCUCAGUUCGGAUUGUCCUCUGCAACUCGAGGGCAUGAAGUUGGAAUCGCUAGUAAUCGCGGAACAGCAUGCCGCGGUGAAUACGUUCCCGGGCCUUGUACACACCGCCCGUCACACCAUGGGAGUUGGGUCUACCCGACGGCCGUGCGCUAACCCUUACGGGAGGCAGCGGACCACGGUAGGCUCAGCGACUGGGGUGAAGUCGUAACAAGGUAGCCGUAGGGGAACCUGCGGCUGGAUCACCUCCUUU